AUUGAACGCUGGCGGCAGGCCUAACACAUGCAAGUCGAGCGGGGUUUUCGGACCUAGCGGCGGACGGGUGAGUAAUGCGUAGGAAGCUACCCGAUAGAGGGGGAUACCAGUUGGAAACGACUGUUAAUACCGCAUAAUGUCUACGGACCAAAGUGUGGGACCUUCGGGCCACAUGCUAUCGGAUGCGCCGAGGUGGGAUUAGCUAGUUGGUGGGGUAAUGGCUCACCAAGGCGACGAUCCCUAGCUGGUUUGAGGGGAUGAUCAGCCACACUGGAACUGAGACACGGUCCAGACUCCUACGGGAGGCAGCAGUGGGGAAUAUUGGACAAUGGGCGCAAGCCUGAUCCAGCCAUGCCGCGUGUGUGAAGAAGGCCUUCGGGUUGUAAAGCACUUUCAGUAGGGAGGAAGGGUGUUGUGUUAAUAGCACAGCAUUUUGACGUUACCUACAGAAGAAGCACCGGCUAACUCUGUGCCAGCCGCCGCGGUAAGAC
rnacentral:rRNA from 1 species